ensembl:lncRNA
UCACAAUAUACUCACUGUGCAACUGUUCAGCUGAACCAGGAGAUUAAAAGUUUAGGAAAGCCAUUCUCUGCCUUCAAAGGGUUUAAAAUCUGUUUGAGGAUGGGACCAAAUAUAUAAACAAUAAAUUAAAAAGCAAAGAAGGAUAUGCUAAAAUCUGGACUAACAGAAAGUAGAAAAGAGCCAAAGUGCUUGUUUUUACUGGAGGAACCUCGACUCUGCAGGUGUCAGCGCUGCAAGGGCUGAACCCUGAUCGCCAGUAGGUCUGCCGAGCCUAGCAUGGGCUGUUGCCCGGCAAAACACAGAGCCCAGCGAGACCGCGACCGAGGAAAGGAGUCUGCAAACGCGCUUCAGAAGGAACUGGGACCAGAGCCCUAGAAAACUAGAGCGAGCGCAUUUCCCGGCAGGGGAACCCGCAGGAGACUGAAAAAAAAGAGAGAGAAAGAAAGAAAAAAAGAAACCCACCCCCGCGCUCUUAAACCUAGCGCGAGCAAGCGAAUGCGCGGGCUGGCUGGGCUGCUCCAGCUGGAAGUCAUUGUGCCGGCUGGCGUCUGCGUUGUCAAGGCGACCGCCCGGCCGGCGCCAGCGGAGGGGGGAGGCGGGCUCGGUGAAUGGGUGACGUCACGCGGCCGGCGCCAGGCAGUCUGGGCAGCCGAGCCAAUGAAUCAGCUGUCGGGGGGAGGGAGGCGGCGCGCGGGAGGAGGGUGCAGGAAUGCGCCCGGAGCCGCGCGGCCCAGGCCGGCGGGAGGCGCCUCCGCCCCGCCCCGCCCCUCCCUGGGCGGCCGGAGCCUUCCAGGCUCUGCCAUCGAGGUCCUCCCUCCUCCUGGCGCCCGGGCUGCAGCUCAGCACCGCAGGCCUUGCUUUCUGCCAGUUAGCCCACGGCCGCGCGCUCUGCAGGGAGGCCCUCGAGCUGAGCAUGGUUCAAAAUUGUGAGGAGUUCCAGAAAAAUGGUGGAAUGCAAACAGCUCCCCUUCUCUCCAGGAAACAGAGACCAGGUGACUGUGGUUUUUGAAGACUAAGCUCUCUCUGCCUUUGCGUAAGGAGGUACAAGAUUUCUGCUGAUAAAAAUUUGGAUUUCACUGCUCACUAAAAGAAGUGAUUAGAACUUUAGGCCUAAAGAAAUAUUUGGAAUCUGGAGAGACUGAGGCAGACUGGAAAAGUUUUGGAGAGGCCCAAACAUCACUGCCCAGAGUCAAGAAAGUGAUCUGAAAUACAGCUGCUGCCAGAGAUGCCCCGUGAGUGGGCUGAGAGAAGAGCCUUACGAGGGACGCUAAUGAAGCACUCAGGAACCGUAUUGAAUAAACUCUGCACAGGCCUCACCAAGGGAUUAUCUAGUUGAGUGGGAGUCCUGCCUCAACUAAACAAAUAAUCAUGGGCCGUUAUUCUCAGCCUAUGAUCAAGUCUUUUUGUCCUUUUUUUCCCUCAAGCAAAAACAAACUACUGCUCAAAACCCAAAGAUCAUUUAAAAAAAAAAAAAAGAAAGUCUGAGAAACUGUCCCAGUCAAGGGGAAUCUUAAGGAGACACAGCAAUUAAACGUAAUGUGGUGGUAUUCUAGAUGGGCUCCUGGAACAGAAAAAGGACAUUUGAUGAAAACUAAAGAAAUCUGAAUAAAUUGUAGACUUUAGCUAAUAACAACAUAUCCGGAUUGGUUCAUUAAUU